UGUGUAGGCGGUCGUAUUAGUCUUUCGUUAAAGUUCACCCGGCUUAACCGGAGAAAUGCGGGAGAAACGGUACGACUAAGAGGACGCGAGAGGUAGAGGGAACUCAUGGUGUAGGGGUGAAAUCCGUUGAUAUCAUGGGGAACACCAAAUGCGAAGGCACUCUACUGGCGCGCUCCUGACGCUGAAACACGAAAGCGUGGGAAUCGAAG
rnacentral:rRNA from 1 species